UACGAAGGGUGCAAACGUUGCUCGGAAUCAUUGGGCGUAAAGCGCACGUAGGCGGCCUGAUAAGUCGGAUGUGAAAUCCCACAGCUUAACUGUGGACGUGCAUCGAAACUGCCAGCUCGAGUAUGGAAGAGGGUCGCAGAAUUCCCGGUGUAGAGGUGAAAUUCGGUAGAUAUCGGGAGGAAUACCAGUGGCGAAGGCGGCGACCUGGGCCAAUCUCGACGCUGAGGUGCG
rnacentral:rRNA from 1 species